GGCUCAUUAAAUCAGUCGUAAUCCACGGGAGUUUGACCCAGUCUUACUUGGAUAACCGUGGUAAUUCUAGGGCUAAUACACGCAACUGAGCUCCGACCCUGCUUCGGUGGGGGUAAGGGCGCCUUUAUUAGUAUGCAAAUCGAUCCAUUCCUCUUUUGGUUGGAUGGUUGUGAUGACCCUGGAUAACCUAGCCGAGCGCUCAGGUCCUUGUGACCCGCGCCGCAUCCUUCGAGCGACUGCCUUAUCAGCUAUAUCGUAGGGUAUUGGCCUACGAUGGCUGUGACGGGUAACGGGGAAUCAGGGUUCGAUUCCGGAGAGGGAGCCCGAGAAACGGCUACCACAUCUAAGGAAGGCAGCAGGCACGCAAAUUACCCACUCCCAGUUCGGGGAGGUAGUGACGAAAAAUACUGAUGCGGGACUCGUUCCGAGGCCUCGCCAUCAGAUUGAGCUCAGUCUAAACCAUUGGACAAGUUUCAACUGGAGGGCAAGUCUGGUGCCAGCAGCCGCGGUAAUUCCAGCUCCAGUAGCGUAUGCUAAAGUUGCUGCGGUUAAAAAGCUCAUAGUUGGAUCUCACGGCCGGAACGGCGGCCCACUAAAGGUUUCGGCCAGCGCCGUGGUUGGUCAGUGUACUUGUAUGCUCGGCCUCUGCGGUUUGCUUGCGUCUGCCCGGUGGUCAACUGUCCGUCUCCGGCUCGAGACUCCCGCUGGUUCGCGAGGGAUGCCUUGUCCUGUACGGGUGUCCCGAGUGACCGGCACGUUCACUUUGAAUAAAUUAGAGUGCUCAAAGCAGGCAAAGUCUUACGCCUGAAUGAUGGUGCAUGGAAUGAUGGAACAGGACCUCGGUUCUGCUCUUUGGUCGAUUUUUUGGAAUCGAGGUAAUGAUUAAAAGAAACAGACGGGGGCAUUCGUAUUGCGACGCUAGAGGUGAAAUUCUUGGACCGUCGCAAGACGAACUACUGCGAAAGCAUUUGCCAAGAAUGUUUUCCUUAAUCAAGAACGAAAGUUAGAGGAUCGAAGGCGAUCAGAUACCGCCCUAGUUCUAACCAUAAACGAUGCUACCUGGCGAUCCGUCGGCGUCAUACCCACGACUCGACGGGGAGCCUCCGGGAAACCAAAGGCUUUGGGUUCCGGGGGAAGUAUGGUUGCAAAGCUGAAACUUAAAGGAAUUGACGGAA
rnacentral:rRNA from 1 species